AUCAGCUAGUUGGUGGGGUAACGGCCUACCAAGGCGACGACGGGUAGCUGGUCUGAGAGGAUGGCCAGCCGGAUUGGGACUGAGAUACGGCCCAGACUCCUACGGGAGGCAGCAAUUAGGAAUCUUGCGCAAUGGGGGAAACCCUGACGCAGCGACGCCGCGUGAGUGAUGAAGUCUUUCGGGAUGUAAAGCUCUGUCCUACGGGGAAGAAGAAUGUGACGGUACCCGUAGAGAAAGCCCCGGCUAACUACGUGCCAGCAGCCGCGGUAAUACGUAGGGGGCGAGCGUUGUCCGAAUUUACUGGGCGUAAAGCGCGUGUAGGCGGCUCUUUAAGUCAGUUGUGAAAUCUUGCGGCUCAACCGCAAAACUGCGACUGAAACUGGAGGGCUUGAGUUUGGGAGAGGAAAGUGGAAUUCCUGGUGUAGCGGUGAAAUGCGUAGAUAUCAGGAGGAACACCCGUGGCGAAGGCGGCUUUCUGGCCCAACACUGACGCUGAGACGCGAAAGCUAGGGGAGCGAACGGGAUUAGAUACCCCGGUAGUCCUAGCCGU
rnacentral:rRNA from 1 species